UCCCAUCCAUCCCCUCACUCACCGCCGCCGCUCAUUCCAAAUCCUCCUCGAUUUCCUCAGCCACCCAACCAGCCUCAACGUUCCCGAUCCACUCCACCCGAGCCAGCCCGCAGUACCACCUACCUCGCUCGAUCUGUGCGCUUGCCCAACCGGCGCUGCAGCUCUCCACCUGCUCGAUCCAAGGAAAGGAGAUCCUCUCCCGAAGCCCCUGUCUCUUCUCUCGCCCAUCCCUAACCUCUCUCUCAUGCCCCGUUGCCUCUCCCUCUGUGUACCAGGAACAUCCAUGGUGGCUACAGCUCCCUCGCCGCCGUUUGCACCAGGUCCAACCGGGAGACGGACGGAUCCAUCCUCCCGCGUCCACCCCGCAUCUCGUUCAUCCCAGAGCACUCCUGCUACGCCAAGUCCACAAGAUCCAUAGCUGCAGGGAACGAGGCGCACUCCGCCCCGAUUGCAUGGACCCCGGCCGGAUCGACGCAGUCCGCCGCUGUCCUGCUUCCCUAGCUCGGGCACGAGCGCCCCGUCUUCCUCCUCGUUGCGCGGAUCCAGGAGGAGCCCCCGCCAGCACCGCCGCUCCUCUGCGCCCUCGCUGCACCAAGCCGGCAUGUACGCCGAUGCCUGGAGCUCCAAGUCUGUGGCCGCCGCCUUGCCUCGUCGCCGGAGUCCCGCUCCUCUGCGUCGCGCCUUCAUUGACCCAGCCGAGCGCCUCCUCUGUUGAAUUGCGACCUCGACGCUCUGCUGACCCUGUCGUCUCGCCAAGGCCGGCUUCUGACGCCCGUUCCUCUGCAUCGAGUGAGGCAGUUCCAUCCAGAUCGAUCCUGCACAGUCAACGCAGCGCAGCGCAGCGUCAAGCCCCAACCGCAGGCCCAGCGCGCCUAAGCCGGCCUGCUCGCUAGGCCGCCGCCAGCUUCCCUCGCUGACUGGGCUUGGCCCUCUGGUGAGAAGCCCAGUCCGCCCGAGUUGCAGCCCUUUUACUGUUUUUUUACAGAUCUGCGAAUUUAGUUUUUUUCAGAGAGACCUGUUUUACAGAAAACCCCCUGUUGUUUAGACAUUUAAUAACUCACAAACGGUGCCUCAUAUUAAAACAAAUUAUAUAUGUAAAAUGCUUAGAAUCUUGUGUAGAUUAAUAAUUUGCAACUUUCAUCUAUGUUUAAAAUUUUUAAACUACUGUUUGUUUAAAUUUGCUUAAACAACUUGUUAAAAUGAUUUAAUUCAUAACUAAUUAACCGUAUCUCGGAUUUAAACAAACUUUAUAUGUAAAUGGGGUAGAAAAAUGCCUAGUUUAACAUGGUGGCAUCACUUUUCAUGUUUAACAACUAUAAAAUAUGGUUUAGGGCAAAACAGUACCAAACCUAAUAUAUGCAUAAGAGGAUUUUUCCGGACUUGUUGUUUGUUGUUCUGGCCUCAUUUAAACUUGCCUAGAUGGGUAGUUUUCACAUGCUUCACCUCUUGCCAUGUUUAACAUCAUUUAAUAUUGGUGGGUACAUAACCGAGAGAGAACUAAAUAAUGGAUAUGGUGUUCCGUCAAUAUGCAACCCGUUGCAUAUUGAGCUCCACUUAAUUUGUAGUUUUGGUUGUUGCACUUUGCCAUGUCAUGCAUAUUUAAACCGGACAUGCAUCAUAUUUGGUUGUGCAUCAUGCCAUGCUUAUGUGUUGGUUGUUUACUAUGUUGUUUGCUUCUUUCCGGUGUUGCUUCUUCGGGUUAGUUCCGUUAACGUCGCGUUUGUGAGGAUCCGUUCGACCUCGUCCAUUUGUCUUCUUCAUGGACUCGUUCUUCUUCCUUGCGGGAUCUCAGGCAAGAUGACCAUACCCUCGAAAUCACUUCUAUCUUUGCUUGCUAGUUGCUCGCUCUUUUGCUAUUCAUAUGCUGUGAUACCUACCACUUGCUUAUCAUGCCUCCCAUAUUGUUAAAUCAAGCCUCUAACCCACCUUGUCCUAGCAAACUGUUGUUUGUCUAUGUUACCGCUUUGCUCAGCCCCUCUUAUAGCGUUGUUAGUUGCAGGUGAAGAUUGAAGUUUGUUCCUUGUUGGAACAUGGAGAUGCUGUUCCUUGUCGGAACAUGUUUAUUUGUUGGGAUAUCACAAUAUCUCUUAUUUAAUUAAUGCCUCUAUAUACUUGGUAAAGGGUGGAAGGCUCGGCCUUAUGCCUGGUGUUUUGUUCCACACUUGCCGCCCUAGUUUCCGUCAUAUCGGUGUUAUGUUCCCGGAUUUUGCGUUCCUUACGCGGUUGGGUUAUAAUGGGAACCCCUUGACAGUUCGCCUUGAAUAAAACUCCUCCAGCAAGGCCCAACAUUGGUUUUACCAUUUGCCACCUAGCCUUUUUCUUUCCCAUGGGUCGGCCAGCCCAAGGGUCAUCUUAUUUUAACCCCCCCGGGCCAGUGCUUCUCUAAGUGUUGGUCCAACCCAGAGCACCGUGCGGGGCCGUCCCUUGGCAACUUGGGUUACGUUGGCUCCCGUAUGCUUAGCUUAUCCGGUGUGCCCUGAGAACGAGAUAUGUGCAGCUCCUAUCGGGAUUUGUCGGCACAGCGGGUGGUCUUGCUGGACUUGUUUUACCAUUGUCGAGGAUGUCUUGUAACCGGGAUUCCGAGUCUGAUUUGGUCUUCCCGCUAGAAGGAAUAUCCUUCGUUGACUGUGAGAUCUUGUGAUGGGCUAAGUUGGGACACCCCUGCAGGGUUAUGAACUUUCGAAAGCCAUGCCCGCGGUUAUGGGCAAAUGGGAAUUUGUUAAUGUCCGGUUGUAGAAAACCUGAAGUUGAUCUUAAUUAAAAUGCACCAACCGCGUGUGUAACCGUGAUGGUCUCUUCUCGGCGGAGUCCGGGAAGUGAACACGGUGUUGGAGUAAUGCUUGACGUAGGUUGUUCUAGGAUCACUUAUUGAUCAUAGUUUCUCGAUCAUGCUUUGCCUUCUCUUCUCGCUCUCAUUUGCGUAUGUUUAGCCACUAAAUAUGCUAGUCGCUUGCUGCAGGUCCACCUCAUACUUUUACCUUACCCAUAAGCUUAAAUAGUCUUGAUCGCGAGGGUGUGAGAUUGCUGAGUCCCCGUGGCUCACAGAUACUUCCAAAACCAGCUUGCAGGUGCCGAUGAGACCGUGCAGAUGACGCAACCAAGCUCAAGGAGGAGUUCGAUGAAGAUCUUGUCCUUUGUGUUGUUUCGUUCUAGUUGAUCAGUAGUGGAGCCCAGUUGGGGUCGAUCGGGGAUCUGUGUAGCUUUUGGGGUAGUCUUCUUUUAUUUUGGCUCCGUAGUCGGGCCUUGAUUGUAACUGGUUGAUGUAAUGCUUUAUUCAUGUAAUUGUGUGAAGUGGUGAUUGUAAGCCAACUAUGUAUCUCUUUUCCCUUAUUUAUUACAUGAGUUGUGUGAAGAUUACCUCACUUGCGACAUUGCUUUCAAUGCGGUUAUGCCUCUAAGUCGUGCUUCGAUACGUGGGAGAUAUAGCCGCAUCGAGGGUGUUUCAAGUUGGUAAUCAGAGCCUUCCCCGACCUUAGGAGCCCCAUUGCUUGAUCGUAUUAGCGGACGUUGUUAAGUCUAGAAAAAUGUUUUGAGUCUUUUAAGAAUUAUAUAUCGGAGAGUUUAGGAAUUCUUUUUACUCCACAGUCCCUUCAUCGCUCUGGUAAGGCAUCCUGACAUAGAGUUUUGACUCUUCUCUUCUCAAAUUUCACUAAAAAAAAUUUAGGAUCACGCGGGUAUCUUGGAAUCGUUCCGAUGGUUUUGUGACGAGAACAUUGUUCUUGGUGCCUCCUGACAUUUAGGGCUUGUGGCAGUGUCCCGGGGAGUUGAGCUCUGAGGUGUUGUCGUCACAAUUUUAUCGUUGCAGUUCUGGAAUACCUGAGAUAGUUUCGCCGACAUUGAAAAUCUCUUUUAUGCAGUUGUUGGUGAGAUAACCUCGACGCCACCCAGUACUGGGGCGGGAGUUCGGGAGUAUUGCCAUAACUUGUAUAACGGAUGCUUUUCGAAGGUUGAGGUAGACGAUUUCGAAGGUUUCUUGGUUAUGUGUUGAAGGAUGGAUACAGCUGGAUCUAGGAUUUGCUAGUUUUGGGUGAGAUAUUAUGCUUCCCCUGUAUCCCCAACACCUGAUUGCAUAACCGGAAAGUUUCUGGAGUUUAUAAGUGGGAAAUCAAGUAGCUCUUAGGAUAUCUUUCCGACAGAUGUAUGAUAUGAAAUUGGGGUUCGACGUCUAGUGGUCCGCCUAUUCACGGUCGAUUUUACAGUGGUCUCGUUGUGUCUUAAAGAGUCCUUGGCUAUGCCGACUCGGGGACACCUCGUAUGUCAUGUGCACUGCCUUGUACAUGAUGGUGCUGUACGAUCGAGCCCGUGUAGGACCCACCACGAAAACUUCGGAUGAAAUCUCUAUCAUAUGUUUGUUCCGGCUGAUUCUGCAAGCCAAUCAUUGUUUUGUUUUGAGUUGUGGUAUUCGAGUUGCUUCGAAGUCAAGUGUUGAUUCCAUGCUUUUUCCUAAGUGAUGUUCUCAUAUUCCUAUGUGAAUACUAAUCCUUCAUGAUAAUCGAGAUUGUCAUGUCAAUCAUUUUCAACCGGUGCGAUUCUCUUCAAGAUGAUCCUAUCAUUUUUCCUAUUUGCAAUAUCCAAUCUCAGUUCUUCCCAACGGUGUUUGUUUCAUCCAUUCCAAAUUGUCUUUGUUUUCCCGCCCUCCCUCCCUUGUUUCUUCAAGGACUCGGAUUUCUUUAUCAAAUAUCCAUCUUAUGGAUGUGAAGACUCUUCAUUCUUGCCUUUCAACGUUCUUACCCGGGGAUUCUCUUGAAGAUGUUCUACUCGUUCAUCACUCUCCAUUCUUUUCCUUUUCUGGUGGAACCAAUCCAAGCUUUCAGUGUUGAUCACAUCCUUUCCUCAUUUCAAUGCUUUCCCAUGCCGAUGCUAUUCUUAAUCAUCCACUUCUCACUAUUCAAUUGUUCCGGAGUGCUCAAGAUAUCUCGAAGAUUCGUGUUUCCACUCUCCUUCCGUUCAAGCUCUUUCGAGGAUGCUAUAUCUUACAAGCUAUUUAACUCAACCGGUGAAAUAUCCUCUUCAAGCAAUCGUUUAACAGUGUUUCUUUUGAGUGGGUCCUAACCCACAGGUCUUUUUCGAAGAUCUUACCUGACUCUUCUUAUUUUACCGGAGCUAUUCUCAAAUCUUUCAAAGUUUAACGUAGGAAUGAAUUAUCAUCAGUCAUAUGUAUUUCUCCAAGAUCUUUCAAAUUCUUUUAUCGUUGGUUCAACCUUUCCAUUUUUCAUCCCGGAGUAUCUCAACAAUUUGGUGGUGUUUCUCAUCGUCAUUCUCAGAUAUUGAAGACCGAAGAAGAGUUCCUCUUUAAUCUUGCUCCAUUCUCUUCAAGAUUCAUGAUUCUAGCUUGUUGCUAUCCUCUCAUAUUUGUUUUCGAUUGCGAGAAUUCUUUUCACCCAUCCGGAGCAAUUCAGGAGUCUUUUCAGUUUGAUUCUCCGCAGCCCAUCAUCUCAGAAUUAUUCUUUCUAGUUUUCAAUUCUCGUUCUUUAAAUCUUAUCGGUGCUUCGCUCAAAUAUCCUCUAAUCAGCUCGUGAUCUAUUCGUUCUCUUGUAUCUAAACUCCUUCAAGUAUCUUCAGUCGUUUUCCAAUUCUUCCCGAUGAGUUGUGCAUUUGCUACAUUCAGUUCCAAUUCUUAUGGUGGUUCGUUCAAGAUCCUUCUUUAUACGUUAUUGUAUCAAUUCACUCGUUCUUUCCAAUUUUACCGGUGGUUCGUAGAAGACCUUCUCAAGGUUGCGCUAUAUCUAUCUUAAUCCUUUCUACGAGAAUAAGUAGUAUGCCAAAUCCAUUGUUUGUCAUCAAUUUAAUUGGUGAAGGAUGAGCAUAAUGUAAUUCUUAUUUUUGUGUCAUCGAGUGAAUUCAAUUCCUUAUUCCGGAGGCUCUUCAAAUUCUCGGUUUCAUUUGAUUCAUCUUUCUUUUCCCGGAGUUCCAAGCUCUCUCAAUUUUUUCAUCAUGAAGAUCCAUCUAAAUCAUUGCAAGGCUUCAACCUUAUUCUUUUCAUCCUUCAUUUCGUUUGUUCAUUCUUUUUUUACCGGAGUUCUUCAUGGAGGUUCUACAUGACGGUUCAUCAAGGAUUUAAUUCCUUCUCCAAGUGUUCAUCAAGAUUCUUUUCAGAGGAGCUCAAUCAUUCUUCAUUUGGCAAUCCGGAGUGCAAUUCUUUCUACCGUAUCAUUGGAAGUGGUAUUAUGUCAUUCUUGAUAAUUUUAGUUCAUGUUUCAUGAUUCACAUGUUGUUAAGAAUGAUGUAUUUUAAAUCCACCAAUCUUUUCGUUCGAGUUAGCUUGCGUCAUGUUUCACCUAAAGCCUUCCCUAAGGAUUUUCCUAGUGUGAGGCGUAUAUUUGACCCAAGUUUUUCUUUUGUCCUCCCGGUGAAAUAGUUUCUCGUCUCCUUGUUCUUAUCAAUCCAAUCUUGUUUUCGUUAGUGGCAGAAGUUCACUUCAGUGUUGAGAAGUUUUCCAUAAGCCCACUACAAGCUUAUUCGUUUCGUUGUUGGUUUUCCAACAACUCCGUUAUAAUUUUCUUGGAAGGGUGUUUUCCAAGCUCAAUUGUUGGCAGAAGUUGUCAUUUUCUUCUCAAUUCUUUCAUUUCCAAACGAUCUAGCUUCUAUUCUUUCUCCCGGAGGCUUUGUGAUGUUGCUCUUUUCAAUCAUCAUCUUGGAUUGCGAGGAUUGUUUUGUUUUCAUGCUUAUCAAUUUAACCGGAGUGUGUGCCCUCUGCUCAAGUUCUUCAUUUUAUUAAGCCCUGCAUAUCUUUCCAACCGGAGUGCUGUUCGAAUUUCUUCUUCCUUGUUCCUUUUCCUAACGGAUUGUUUUCAACUUCGUUCAUCUCUGUUGUAUUCUUUUCUCGUAAUGACUUAACCUUUCCAAGGUUCUUUGGUCUCACUCGUUUGUCAAAGAAGCAACUUAGUUUUAUCUCUUCUCUUUCUCUUCCGUUUUUCCCUCCGGUGCCAUUCUAGAUCUCGGGACGAGAUCCUCUCGUAGUGGUGGAGUGUUGUAACGCCCCGAGACCGUUGCGCCAGGUGUCUUCCAGUUAUUCGCCGGCGUUGCCAUGUCAUUUUCUCGCGUGUUGCAUUUCAUCAUGUCAUCAUGUGCAUUGCGUCAUCAUGUUUUCAAAACCUGCAUCCGUCCAGGUUCCCCCAGUGCCAUCCGUUGUCAGUUCUGAGCCCAGACACACUUGCACGCGCCCGCGGCACGUCCGAAAUAUUAUUUUAUAAGUGUCCGAAAAAUGUUCUCGGAAUGGGUUGAAAGUUGGCAUGUGGUGUUGUUAUGUUGUAGGUAGACCAUCUGCCAAGUUUCAUCGCAUUUGGAGUUCGUUUGAUAGCCCAACGGAUAACUAUAACGACAUUAUAGUCGGUCUAACGUCGGAUGUUUUCGGUCUCCAGAAACUGUCGCCGGGUCUCUCUCUCUCUUCUCUUCUCUCAGCCCAAAGCUUCUGCACAGUCCGCUGACAACCGCCAGACCCCGAAACCCUCUCUGCACAGUGCUUCGAAUCCCUCACGCGCGCGUCCGGAACUUCCCGGGACCCGACCCGGGCAGUCGUCGCCGUUGGGUCCGGAUCAUCCCCAAACAUCUACAAAAUGUCUCCGUUUUGUUAAUUGGACUUCCUAACCAAUUAAUUCUCGACCGCCUGAUUACGAUCGGACGGACCGAAUACCCCCUUACCCUAUUUCCCCUACCUAUAUAAACAACCUAACCCUAAAAUCUCGGACGGCUGUCCCAUCCAUCCCCUCACUCGCCGCCGCCGCUCAUUCCAAAUCCUCCUCGAUUUCCUCAGCCACCCAACCAGCCUCCACCUUACCGAUCCACUCCACCCGAGCCAACCCGUAGUACCACCUACCUCGCUCGAUCUGUGCGCUUGCCCAACCGGCGCUGCAGCUCUCCACCUGCUCGAUCCAAGGAAAGGAGAUCCUCUCCCGAAGCCCCUGUCUCUUCUCUCGCCCGUCCCUAACCUCUCUCUCAUGCC
rnacentral:lncRNA from 1 species